rnacentral:rRNA from 1 species
CGGCAGUAUUGAAGCUUCGGUGGAUUUACUGGACGUCGAGCGGCGGACGGGUGAGUAACGGCUGGGAACCUGCCCUGACGAGGGGGAUAACCGUUGGAAACGACGGCUAAUACCGCAUAAUGUCUUGAUUCGUUAGAGUCAGGACCAAAGGUGGCCUCUACAUGUAAGCUAUCGCGUUGGGAUGGGCCCAGUUAGGAUUAGCUAGUUGGUAAGGUAAUGGCUUACCAAGGCARCGAUCCUUAGCUGGUUUGAGAGGAUGAUCAGCCACACUGGGACUGAGACACGGCCCAGACUCCUACGGGAGGCAGCAGUGGGGAAUAUUGCACAAUGGGGGAGACCCUGAUGCAGCCAUGCCGCGUGUGUGAAGAAGGCCUUCGGGUUGUAAAGCACUUUCAGCAGUGAGGAAGGUCGUGUACUUAAUACGUGCACGGCUUGACGUUAGCUGCAGAAGAAGCACCGGCUAACUCCGUGCCAGCAGCCGCGGUAAUACGGAGGGUGCGAGCGUUAAUCGGAAUUACUGGGCGUAAAGCGCAUGCAGGCGGUUUGUUAAGUCAGAUGUGAAAGCCCGGGGCUCAACCUCGGAACCGCAUUUGAAACUGGCAGGCUAGAGUCUUGUAGAGGGGGGUAGAAUUUCAGGUGUAGCGGUGAAAUGCGUAGAGAUCUGAAGGAAUACCAGUGGCGAAGGCGGCCCCCUGGACAAAGACUGACGCUCAGAUGCGAAAGCGUGGGUAGCAAACAGGAUUAGAUACCCUGGUAGUCCACGCCGUAGACGCUGUCUACUUGGAGGUUGAGGUUUUAGACUUUGGCUUUCGGCGCUAACGCAUUAAGUAGACCGCCUGGGGAGUACGGCCGCAAGGUUAAAACUCAAAUGAAUUGACGGGGGCCCGCACAAGCGGUGGAGCAUGUGGUUUAAUUCGAUGCAACGCGAAGAACCUUACCUACUCUUGACAUCCAGCGAAGCCUUUAGAGAUAGAGGCGUGCCUUCGGGAGCGCUGAGACAGGUGCUGCAUGGCUGUCGUCAGCU